ACAAAUCAAAUUUAUAUCGAUGCGUACAUAAAAAUAUGCAUAUAAAAGUUAGUUUUUCUUAAGUAAAGGAGAUAUAGUUGUAAAGUCGAAACAAAUACGUUCGUAAAAAAUCGUGCCAAGUAGCACUAAUGCCACAACAGUUGCCAACGACCACCAACACCAGAAGAGCUCACGUAAAAUCGUUGAACCACGCACGCCCGUUGCGGCGUGUUAAUACGAAAAAAUAGACAUAAAUCUAAAACUUAGAAAAGAAUAACUAAGUCGAUCCAGGAUCCACGUGUUGCGACGAACUUGUCAACGAAGAAAAAUACACGUGUUGCGAUUGCCUGUCAAACGGGAAAAAACAGACGAAAAAACGUUGAAUCCUAUACGCACGUUGUGGCGUGUUGACUCGAAAAAUUUAUAACGAAACUUAAAACGAAAAACUUGUGAAAGAUAAAAAGUAUGGGGGAACAAAGUUGAAAAUAAAAAAGUGUUGGGGGUUAAAUU
rnacentral:lncRNA from 1 species